rnacentral:misc_RNA from 1 species
GAUGAAGAACGCAGCGAAAUGCGAUAAGUAAUGUGAAUUGCAGAAUUCAGUGAAUCAUCGAAUCUUUGAACGCACAUUGCGCCCUCUGGUAUUCCGGGGGGCAUGCCUGUUCGAGCGUCAUUAUAACCACUCAAGCUUUCGCUUGGUAUUGGGGCUCGCGGUUCCGCGGCCCCUAAAAUCAGUGGCGGUGCCUGUCGGCUCUACGCGUAGUAAUACUCCUCGCGAUUGAGUCCGGUAGGUCUACUUGCCAGCAACCCCCAAUUUUUACAGGUUGACCUCGGAUCAGGUAGGGAUACCCGCUGAACUUAAGCAUAUCAAUAAGCCGGAGGA